rnacentral:rRNA from 1 species
UACGAAGGGGGCGAGCGUUAUUCGGAAUCACUGGGCGUAAAGCGUGUGUAGGCGGACGCCUAAGUGUCUUGUGAAAUCCCACGGCUCACCCGUGGAACUGCUGGGCAUACUGGGCGUCUUGGGCCAACUAGGGGCAGCCGGAACAAGCGGUGGAGCGGUGAAAUGCGUAGAUAUCGCUUGGAACGCCGAAGGUGAAAACAGGCUGCUGGGGUUGCGCCGACGCUGAGACACGAAAGCCAGGGGAGCAAACGGG